rnacentral:rRNA from 1 species
CUACGGGGGGCUGCAGCGGGGAAUAUUGCACAAUGGGCGCAAGCCUGAUGCAGCCAUGCCGCGUGUAUGAAGAAGGCCUUCGGGUUGUAAAGUACUUUCAGCGGGGAGGAAGGGAGUAAAGUUAAUACCUUUGCUCAUUGACGUUACCCGCAGAAGAAGCACCGGCUAACCCCGUGCCAGCAGCCGCGGUAAUACGGAGGGUGCAAGCGUUAAUCGGAAUUACUGGGCGUAAAGCGCACGCAGGCGGUUUGUUAAGUCAGAUGUGAAAUCCCCGGGCUCAACCUGGGAACUGCAUCUGACACUGGCAAGCUUGAGUCUCGUAGAGGGGGGUAGAAUUCCAGGUGUAGCGGUGAAAUGCGUAGAGAUCUGGAGGAAUACCGGUGGCGAAGGCGGCCCCCUGGACGAAGACUGACGCUCAGGUGCGAAAGCGUGGGGAGCAAACAGGAUUAGAUACCCGAGUAGUC